rnacentral:rRNA from 1 species
UACGUAGGGAGCAAGCGUUAUCCGGAUUUAUUGGGCGUAAAGCGUGUGUAGGCGGUUUAUUAAGUCUAAAAUAAAAGCCCGAGGCUUAACCUCGGUUCGUUUUAGAAACUGGUAGGCUUGAGUGUGGUAGAGGCAAAUGGAAUUUCUAGUGUAGCGGUUAAAUGCGUAGAUAUUAGAAGGAACACCAGUGGCGAAGGCGGUUUGCUGGGCCAUUACUGACGCUGAGACACGAAAGCGUGGGGAGCAAAUA